GUGAGGAAUAUUGGUCAAUGGGCGAGAGCCUGAACCAGCCAAGUCGCGUGAAGGAAGAAGGAUCUAUGGUUCGUAAACUUCUUUUGCAGGGGAAUAAAGUGCGGGACGUGUCCUGUUUUGUAUGUACCCUGAGAAUAAGGAUCGGCUAACUCCGUGCCAGCAGCCGCGGUAAUACGGAGGAUCCGAGCGUUAUCCGGAUUUAUUGGGUUUAAAGGGUGCGUAGGUGGUUUGAUAAGUCAGCGGUGAAAGUUUGCAGCUUAACUGUAAAAAUGCCGUUGAAACUGUAGGACUUGAGUGUAAAUGAGGUAGGCGGAAUGCGUGGUGUAGCGGUGAAAUGCAUAGAUAUCACGCAGAACUCCGAUUGCGAAGGCAGCUUACUAAGCUACAACUGACACUGAAGCACGAAAGCGUGGGGAUCAAACAGGAUUAGAUACCCGAGUAGUCC
rnacentral:rRNA from 1 species